ACUAAGCGUACACGGUGGAUGCCCUGGCAGUCAGAGGCGAUGAAGGGCGUGCUAAUCUGCGAUAAGCGCCGGUAAGGUGAUAUGAACCGUUAUAACCGGCGAUACCCGAAUGGGGAAACCCAGUGUGAUUCGUCACACUAUCAUUAACUGAAUCCAUAGGUUAAUGAGGCGAACCGGGGGAACUGAAACAUCUAAGUACCCCGAGGAAAAGAAAUCAACCGAGAUUCCCCCAGUAGCGGCGAGCGAACGGGGAGGAGCCCAGAGCCUGAAUCAGCAUGUGUGUUAGUGGAAGCGUCUGGAAAGGCGCGCGAUACAGGGUGACAGCCCCGUACACAAAAGCGCAUGUGCUGUGAGCUCGAUGAGUAGGGCGGGACACGUGGUAUCCUGUCUGAAUAUGGGGGGACCAUCCUCCAAGGCUAAAUACUCCUGACUGACCGAUAGUGAACCAGUACCGUGAGGGAAAGGCGAAAAGAACCCCGGCGAGGGGAGUGAAAAAGAACCUGAAACCGUGUACGUACAAGCAGUGGGAGCACAGGUUUACCUGUGUGACUGCGUACCUUUUGUAUAAUGGGUCAGCGACUUAUAUUCUGUAGCAAGGUUAACCGAAUAGGGGAGCCGGAGGGAAACCGAGUCUUAACCGGGCGUUAAGUUGCAGGGUAUAGACCCGAAACCCGGUGAUCUAGCCAUGGGCAGGUUGAAGGUUGGGUAACACUAACUGGAGGACCGAACCGACUAAUGUUGAAAAAUUAGCGGAUGACCUGUGGCUGGGGGUGAAAGGCCAAUCAAACCGGGAGAUAGCUGGUUCUCCCCGAAAGCUAUUUAGGUAGCGCCUCGUGAAUUCAUCUCCGGGGGUAGAGCACUGUUUCGGCUAGGGGGCCAUCCCGGCUUACCAACCCGAUGCAAACUGCGAAUACCGGAGAAUGUUAUCACGGGAGACACACGGCGGGUGCUAACGUCCGUCGUGAAGAGGGAAACAACCCAGACCGCCAGCUAAGGUCCCAAAGUCAUGGUUAAGUGGGAAACGAUGUGGGAAGGCCCAGACAGCCAGGAUGUUGGCUUAGAAGCAGCCAUCAUUUAAAGAAAGCGUAAUAGCUCACUGGUCGAGUCGGCCUGCGCGGAAGAUGUAACGGGGCUAAACCAUGCACCGAAGCUGCGGCAGCGACGCUUAUGCGUUGUUGGGUAGGGGAGCGUUCUGUAAGCCUGUGAAGGUGUGUCGUGAGGCAUGCUGGAGGUAUCAGAAGUGCGAAUGCUGACAUAAGUAACGAUAAAGCGGGUGAAAAGCCCGCUCGCCGGAAGACCAAGGGUUCCUGUCCAACGUUAAUCGGGGCAGGGUGAGUCGACCCCUAAGGCGAGGCCGAAAGGCGUAGUCGAUGGGAAACGGGUUAAUAUUCCCGUACUUGGUGUUACUGCGAAGGGGGGACGGAGAAGGCUAUGUUGGCCGGGCGACGGUUGUCCCGGUUUAAGCGUGUAGGUGUGUGUUCCAGGUAAAUCCGGUUCACUUUAACACUGAGGCGUGACGACGAGGCACUACGGUGCUGAAGCAACAAAUGCCCUGCUUCCAGGAAAAGCCUCUAAGCAUCAGGUAACAUCAAAUCGUACCCCAAACCGACACAGGUGGUCAGGUAGAGAAUACCAAGGCGCUUGAGAGAACUCGGGUGAAGGAACUAGGCAAAAUGGUGCCGUAACUUCGGGAGAAGGCACGCUGACACGUAGGUGAAGUGAUUUACUCAUGGAGCUGAAGUCAGUCGAAGAUACCAGCUGGCUGCAACUGUUUAUUAAAAACACAGCACUGUGCAAACACGAAAGUGGACGUAUACGGUGUGACGCCUGCCCGGUGCCGGAAGGUUAAUUGAUGGGGUCAGCGCAAGCGAAGCUCCUGAUCGAAGCCCCGGUAAACGGCGGCCGUAACUAUAACGGUCCUAAGGUAGCGAAAUUCCUUGUCGGGUAAGUUCCGACCUGCACGAAUGGCGUAAUGAUGGCCAGGCUGUCUCCACCCGAGACUCAGUGAAAUUGAACUCGCUGUGAAGAUGCAGUGUACCCGCGGCAAGACGGAAAGACCCCGUGAACCUUUACUAUAGCUUGACACUGAACAUUGAGCCUUGAUGUGUAGGAUAGGUGGGAGGCUUUGAAGCGUGGACGCCAGUCUGCGUGGAGCCGACCUUGAAAUACCACCCUUUAAUGUUUGAUGUUCUAACGUGGACCCGUGAUCCGGGUUGCGGACAGUGUCUGGUGGGUAGUUUGACUGGGGCGGUCUCCUCCUAAAGAGUAACGGAGGAGCACGAAGGUUGGCUAAUCCUGGUCGGACAUCAGGAGGUUAGUGCAAUGGCAUAAGCCAGCUUGACUGCGAGCGUGACGGCGCGAGCAGGUGCGAAAGCAGGUCAUAGUGAUCCGGUGGUUCUGAAUGGAAGGGCCAUCGCUCAACGGAUAAAAGGUACUCCGGGGAUAACAGGCUGAUACCGCCCAAGAGUUCAUAUCGACGGCGGUGUUUGGCACCUCGAUGUCGGCUCAUCACAUCCUGGGGCUGAAGUAGGUCCCAAGGGUAUGGCUGUUCGCCAUUUAAAGUGGUACGCGAGCUGGGUUUAGAACGUCGUGAGACAGUUCGGUCCCUAUCUGCCGUGGGCGCUGGAGAACUGAGGGGGGCUGCUCCUAGUACGAGAGGACCGGAGUGGACGCAUCACUGGUGUUCGGGUUGUCAUGCCAAUGGCACUGCCCGGUAGCUAAAUGCGGAAGAGAUAAGUGCUGAAAGCAUCUAAGCACGAAACUUGCCCCGAGAUGAGUUCUCCCUGAGACUUAGAGUCUCCUGAAGGAACGUUGAAGACGACGACGUUGAUAGGCCGGGUGUGUAAGCGCAGCGAUGCGUUGAGCUAACCGGUACUAAUGAACCGUGAGGCUUAACC
rnacentral:rRNA from 1 species